GGAAAAGUAUGUAUUGUAAAGAGAGAAAAAGAGGUGGCAUCCCCACUCCUGGCUCUCACCAUUGGUUACCCACCCUACUAGGAGGCCAUCCCCAACAGACUACCUUUGGGGAAAUGGUGCCUCAACAGAACUGAGAUUAGUUACUCCUCUUUACAGAGAUGGAUUAGCUCAUUCUCACAAAUUAGGUCCAAACGGACUUUGGUUUUGGUUUCUGAAAGUUGGAUAUUACAUAUACAGUAGGCUGUGUUUGGACUAGUGAGUCUUGGCUUAAUAAAUUGGGCUGUGCAUGAGGUCCUUUGUGUGAGUCAGGAAGCUGUCAGGAGUCCAGGUUCCCAGCUUGAUAACACAGUAAGCGUAGGUAAUUAAAAAGGAGGAUAUAUUGCAAAAACAAACAGAUAGUUCCGGACGGCUCUGACAAAAAUCAUUACUCAAGAUGACCCUUCUGAAGACUUCUUCCUAUGUCGACAGAAGAUAUUGAACUUUUGCCCCUAAUGUCGCUUGUUUUGCUUCCUAUCAAGCAGCCCUCCCAUUCGUCGAUUCCUCAGACUGAUUGGAUUAGCUCCCACCUUUUCUUGCUCUGACGAACUGUCUCCUUUCCUGUCUGAACUGCUGUUCAGCCUGUGUCAGAUCUAACUCUCUGUGUUCUGCAGCAGGCUGUGAAGUUACACUAGGAGCUGGCUCAUUCCUGACAGAAGCCAUAGUUACCUAUAGCUUCCUGUUGCAUCCGAACCAGGUAAGAUACUAUGGUUAAUACUUCCAAACAAACCAGGAUAUAUGGUUUAAAGCUGCCUACGGAUUCUGGCUGGUUAGGAAGCCAUUUUUUAUUUUAAGCAGCCUAUACAAAACCAACCAAACCAUAGUUCAUAUUUUGCAUGUAAUGGUUUAGCUUUGGUUCCCUGACUUGCUUUCCAGCUUCUGCAAAGGGAGGAGCAAACCACCUCAACUAGGUCAUAGUCAGCUUGAUCCAUUGGCCAGAUAAGGAAGGACUGAAGGAAGCAGGAAACAGAAAGAAAGGAAAAAGGAAGGGGCAAAUGAAGGAAUGGGAAGGAAAGAGGAAUACAGUCUAGGAUUGUUAGUAUGGCUAUGUUAGUUCAUGGUCCUUUUUAGUAAUAUAUUAACAGUUGUAUCAAACUAGAUCAGACUCUGAGUUGAUCCAUUGAAAUUAAUGGCCUUAAUGUUAUUCAUGCCCAUUAAUCUCCAUGGAUCAUGGUAUGACAAAUGUUGGCUACAACCCUUUGUUGCUGUUCUGAAAUGUCUUGGUUUGGAAAUUGUAUUAGGUCUUUAUUUGUUUGGGCAUAUUCUUUUUAAUCUGCUUUCGGGAAACGUUUUAUUUGAAAAGCAGCCUGCCAUUUUAAAAAUAAAUAGAUAAAUACUGAGUGGUGGCGGUUGUCAGCAUCCGUCUGUCUACUAAGUGAGCUGUAGUGCUCAAUAAAUGUCCUGCACAGCUAGCGUUGGCUUUCAAGGGUGUGAAUUCUCCCUAAGAACAGAAGCCCACCCCAAGCAAGAAAGAAAGGGCUCUGCCCACCGCCCCCAAUCUUUUGGAAACCCAAGAUAAGGGAGCCACAGUGAGUGACCAACUGGAGGGGAGAAAAGGCAGGAGGAGAUGGAUGGAGGAGGAAUUAAUAUUCACUUCCUCAAACCGUAUGUGUACCAAAAUACAGCAGGCCCUUCAUAAUUUGCACUCCUCUGAAUUUUGCAAUGUUGUUCUCCGGCCAAGUAAGGUGUCCCAAAAAUGCACACUCUAGUGUGCAUAAAAAUACAUAUAGCAGUGAGAACAAAAUGCAAAAAGGCAUUUUGGGAAAAUGUGCCUUGCCAAAAUGUGUGUAUCAGGCAAGAUUGCAUGUAAAAAAUGCACAUUCACUCACUCCCACAAUGCUGAUGAAUUUUCAUGAGGACUUUUUUUAAAAAAGGCAAACCUAUGUAGAAAUGUGCAGAAAUGAUUAGGGGGGAAAAAAGAGAAACUGAAAUUGACAGAUUUGCCCAUCUUUACCAACCACCAGGAUUUGCUCUGCCGGUGCCCAAAAUUGUGCUACCCCAGAUCAGAAGGUUAAUGUGCUCUUUCUAAUAGGGGGAGAAGAUCGCUUGCCUAACCUUACUGGUUUGCUCUGAGCUCUUGGAGGUGCAGGUCCUCUACUAUGCUCCUUUUGUACCCCCCCACUUCAGCCAUCCCCCCAAUAUUUGUGUUCCUGCCUCCCCAAUAUUUGUUGGACUCCCAUGACCAUCCAUGGCCCUUCUCCAUGCUGGCUGGUGCUGAUGAGGAGAUUGGAGUCCAACAAGAUCUGGAGAACCAUAGGCCUCCUAGCUCCUACUCCACCCUGGUUCCCUCCAGAUGUUCUGGACUGCAACUUGCAACCGCCUUAGCCAACAGUUGCAGUUCAGAACUUCUGGAAGUCACUAGGCUGGUGCUGCCUACUGGAUAGGCUUUGUUCAAGCCUCCAAUGUUGUUGAUUCUGAAGAGACAGGAGGAAAGCGUCAAAGUGCCUCUGGCCGUAAUUUUGUGAUGCACGGAAUGUAGGAAGCAGCCAAAAUGCAUAAUGGAAGGCAGGGGACGGUGAGGGUGAUGUUGCAGACCAGCCCUUUGGGCCCAGAAUAAGUCCUCUGACGGCCAGUUGCUGGUUCCUGAAUGAUUUCUUCUGCACACCUUCCAGAAACAGAGGCAGAAAGAUGCCCCCGCAGCGGAUGGCGGGUGCGAGAACGUGGCCCGAGCUUUUGCGAGGCGGUCCUGCAUUCUCUCAACAAAGCAAAAGGAGGGCGGGGGGGGGGGGAUCUCUCAGAUACUGUGUCGCGUUUGAAAGCCACCUGUCAUGUCUUAAAUUAGUAAAUAUGCCCCAAAUGUUCUGUUGAAGGUGAAGCGAAAUAUGAGACUUACACAAAACACAUUUUCCUGUAAAUUAUUCAUCCGGUAAAACAUCUUUGAACUCUCCAGCGUGAGUGUAACUGACAAGUGUAGGAAAGGGGAUUAAGGGGGACGGUUCUCAGCUUGGCACUUAUGCAAAUUUUAUUCACAUCCCCCCUUGCAUGCACCCCCACCAACACAGAGCUUAUAUAUGGGCAGUUCUGAAAAGCCUUUCCUUUUAUCUCUCUCUCUCCCUGUCUGAUUAAACCCCCUCCAUCCAGAUUCCCCAGAAAUACGUGGCUGCAGUCCUGAAGCUUCUCCCCUGGUGGUGCUGUUCCCUCGCUUGAACUCUGCUUCCUUUGCACGGGUGGGGGGUUGAGUACUAAAACUACUGCCACAUAGUGGACAGCGAAUGAACUGCAGACAGGGGAGGGCUCCUUACUUAUUUGUGUGUGUGUGUGUGUGGAUGGGUAUGUGCAUGUCUUUAAAUCAUAUGCACUCCUCCUGAUGCGACUUUGAACACAUUCUUUGGCUUGCCAGCAAACGGCACCUUCUUAUCUCAGGUGCCAGGGAAUUAGAGAUGCUUUGUUAUCAGGAGAGAGAGAGAGAGUUAGAGUUUUUGGAAACUCUGAGACAUAGCCAAGAUGCAAAAAUAGCAAAUUCGCUUUUGAACAUCCCCCAAUUCCUCCCCCACUCUCCCGGCCAUCUCUCCCAGGGAAGGGGAUUCAAAAAGAGAGAGAAAGGGGAAAUAGUUAAGAGGAAGGGCACGUUCGUUGCAUGCCUGAGCUGCUGGGUUAAACUCCUGGCAUCUCCAAUUAAAUGAGGAGCAACAGGUGCUGGGGAGGUGUGUGGCAGUGACAUCACCGGCCCAGAUAGACCAAUGGCCAGAUUGGCGGCUUCAUCUGGUCAAAACCUCCGCCCUGCAUUUUCCUAUCGCCUCGAGAGCACACACAUUUCUGUUUCAUUUUGCAUUUGCAUACUCAAAAUCUCAAAAAGCAAAUGCAAAAAACCAAAACCAAAAAAUAAAUAUUUCACCCAGCUUCGUUUGAUUUUACUAAACACACAAAUGAGAGAGCAGAGGCUCCAGAUACACCAGCAGGGUGUGCAGGUUUACAGAACUCUAACAGAUUUGGCAUGGAAGAUCUUGGGAACUCCGUGUUGCACGCACUGCAGAACUUGUAAACAGAAGAAUCAGGCUAAAUGCUGGCUUUUGUUCUAUGCCAGGCAUGUCCAACAUGUAGAGCGUGAUCUACCGGUAGAUCACUGGACGUCUGCGGUAGAUCACUGGUAGAUCAUUGGCUCCCCCCAAAGAAGCUGAACAACUGUGGCUCCCCUAGAAAAAGCUCAACAUUUUACCUCCUCCCUGAAAAACUCAACAACUUUGACCUGAACCCCCCAAAAGGGGGUAGAUAACUGCCAGUUUUUAACUCUGUGAGUAGAUUGCAGUCAUUCCUUGUUUUGGGACGCGGGUGGCGCUGUGGGUUAAACCACAGAGCCUAGGACUUGCUGAUCAGAAGGUCAGCGGUUCGAAUCCCUGCAACGGGGUGACCUCCCGUUUCUUGGUCCCUGCUCCUGCCAACCUAGCAGUUUGAAAGCACGUCAAAGUGCAAGUAGAUAAAUAGGUACUGCUCCGGCGGGAAGGUAAACGGCGUUUCUGUGCACUGCUCUGGUUCGCCAGAAGCUGCUUAGUCAUGCUGGCUACAUGACCCGGAAGCUGUACGCCGGCUCCCUCGGCCAAUAAAGUGAGAUGAGCGCCGCAACCCCAGAGUUGGCCACGACUGGACCUAAUGGCCAGGGGUCCUUUACCUUUACCUUUAGAUUGCAGUCUCUUGGGAGUUGACCACCCCUGUUCUAUACCUUACACACCUGACAUUUGGUUCAGAGCUUGCACACCUCUCAUAUACAGGUAAAGUACUGUAUAAAUCUUUUAAAGAACAUCACCCUGCAUUAUGAUGGAGGAAUAGGCUUGCCUGCGCAAUGCAGGCGCCUCCAAAAAGGCAUCUCUGCACACAGGAACACUUUGCAGCUGCUUUCUGAUUGGUUUUGCACACAAUGCAAUAUUGUCCUCAAGCUCUGCACUUUAUGUAGGAAAAUAAAGGGGAGAAUUCAAAGAUAUCUCUAAUGCGGGAGUUUAACCUCCCCUGGUGAGCAGGCAAGGGUCCGUAAAUGCUAGAACUGAAUGGAAGCCCUAGAAGAAUUCAGCCUGAAUCCCAUAGCCCUGCCUUCCCAGGCCUGGGUUGUUUCUUGGUCACAGGAGAGUGUGACGCGACCUUGGGGGAAUUGGCUUGUACAUAAAUAGAUUAUUGCAACAAGUGCUUUAUGGCAAACAGCUGUGAUAGCAAUAAAGACGAGUGUGCCUGGAAUCAAAGUGAAACUGGAGUGGGUUUAGCAGGAGGACACGGGUCCUGUGAAUAGCAUUUUAAGGCCAAUCACCUUGAAAUGAAAGGCACUAGCUUUUUCCUUCUGUAAACAGCAAAAUGAAACAAAAUGGAGAGGCGGGAGUCCUUUUACGCAAGGCUGGAGUUUGUCAAGAUUUCAGAGCAUCUGUUCCUGGGGGCUUCUAAGGACCUGGGCAUGCCUGCGGUUCAGUGGGAACACUAGAUAAAAUAUAAAAUGCAGUCGCUAACAAUUGUUCACCCAUUAGGAAGUGAAGGAGAGCGCGCAAUGCCUGGAGAGCCCUCCUUCCCUCUUUGUUUUUGAUCCGUGGCAUGGGGCUGCCUCGUGGCCAUUAGGAAUGGCUGUCAGCAAACUCGGAGGUAAAGGAAUAUAAAAACAGACCCUCCAAGCAUUCCUAUUUUCCAGGCACAGUCCCGGAUUUACAGAAGGCAUCCCUGUUUCUGAUUUGAUCCCAGAAUGUCCCAGUUUUCCUUACGAAGUCCCUAUUUUCGUUGGAGAAAUGCUGGCGUGUAUGGACUUAUUGCAACCCCCGAGCCAAGGAGAUAAGUAACUAGACAACCUUUAGAAGACAUCUGAAGACAGCCCAGUAUAGGGACAUUUUAAAACGUUCAAUUAUGUUUUUAUAUAUGUUGGAAGCUGCCUGUAGUGGAUGGGGCAACCCAGUCAGAUGGGCAGGACAUAAAUAAUAAUUAAAAAGUAUUGUUAAGAUUACAGUGGUACCUCAGGUUAAGUACUUAAAUCGUUCCGGAGGUCUGUACUUAACCUGAAACUGUUCUUAACCUGAAGCACCACUUUAGCUAAUGGGGCCUCCCGCUGCCACUGCGCCGCCAGAGCACAAUUUCUGUUCUUAUCCUGAAGCAAAGUUCUUAACCUGUUAAGAACCUCUUAACCUGUUAACCUCUUAAGUUCUGUUCUUAUCCUGAAGCAAAGUUUUUUUCUGGGUUAGCGGAGUGUGUAACCUGAAGCGUAUGUAACCCGAGGUACCACUGUAUUGUGGAAUAGAAUGUCCCUCUUUUCAUUGGAGAAAUGUUGGAGGGUAUGUAAAAGUGAAAAUUGGGGAUUGAGAGAAAAUGACAGCAAAAGCUCAAGAACAAAACAGUUCAAUUUAGAAGUGGGUCACACGUCUAGGCCUUUCAGGGCCAACUCAGGACAUUAGGCUGCCUGAAAGGCUGGACAAUAUGGUGCCCUCUCCCUUUCCACAUGCAGAAGAUGGCUGGACUUGGUCUUCUGCUGCACCUGCAGACCAUAGUCUAGCUUUCGGUGUGCAAGGCAGGCCAUGAGGCAUACAGCUCUGUCCCCACUUCCGUUGCUGAACUGGAACGUGUGCAAACAAAUGCUGGAAUGUAACAGCAGCGGUGUUGUCACGGCCUUGGGAUUAGAUCAUGCGCAGGCAAACUAAGGCCCGGGGGCCAGAUCUGGCCCAAUCGCCUUCUAAAUCCGGCCCACGGAUGGUCUGGGAAUCAGCGUGUUUUUACAUGAGUCAAAUGUGUGCUUUUAUUUAAAAUGCAUCUCUGGGUUAUUUGUGGGGCAUAGGAAUUCAUUCAUUCCCCCCCCCCCCAAUAUAGUCUGGCCCCCCACAAGGUCUGAGGGACAGUGGACCAGCCCCCUGCUGAAAAAGUUUGCUAACCCCUGGAUUAGAUCCUCCUACUUCAAGGGGUGGAAAGGGACACGGGUGGCGCUGUGGGUUAAACCACAGAGCCUAGGACUUGCUGAUCAGAAGGUCGGCGGUUCGAAUCCCCGUGACAUGGUGAGCUCCCGUUGCUCAGUCCCUGCUCCUGCCAACCUAGCAGUUCGAAAGCACGUCAAAGUGCAAGUAGAUAAAUAGGUAAAGCUCCGGCGGGAAGGUAAACGGCGUUUCUGUGCGCUGUUCUGGUUCGCCAGAAGCGACUUAGUCAUGCUGGCCACACGACCCGGAAGCUGUAUGCCGGCUCCAUUGGCCAAUAAAGCAAGAUGAGCGCCGCAACCCCAGAGUCGUCCACGACUGGACGUAAUGGUCAGGGGUCCCUUUACCUUUACCUUUACUUCAGGGGGUCAGAUCAAGGACUCAUGACAUACGUUUAAAGUGCUUCAACACCACUGGGAGCUGUAGUUUGUUAAGGGUGCUGAGAGUUCUCAGGGAAUCGCCAAUCCCUCCCAGAGCUACAAUUCUCAGAGUGGUUUAAGAAUCCAUCCCUGUUCCCAGGGAACUGUGGGAACUGUAGUUCUGUCAUCUGGGAAGCAGAAUCCAUGACUCGACGGGUGCUUAAUCUGAUCCUGCAGGGCCCUUCUUCUUAAGAGUAACUGCCCAUGUUCAAGACAUGGUUCUGUCCAUGACCAUUGGGAGUUGGAGUCUAACAACAUCUUGAGAGCCACAGGGUCCCCACUUGGAAAAGUGUGGGAGGUAAAACCCCCCAUAAAUUGCAGUAUUUCUGUAUAUUUUCGCCAUGCCUGCUUAGACCCUAUGAUUUCCAGAGAUUCAGGAGAGGGUGUAUGUGCCCUUUCCCCCUCUUCCUAUUGCUAGCAAAGUCAUUAUUAUUUUUAAAUGCAUAUUAAGAGAAUGGCAAACAUUUUCUCAGUUUGCAUCAUUGUGGAAGGCUGUACAAUGAAGUUUAUAUCGGGGUGGAUUUUGAUUUGCUUGCCUGCAGAAUUUGCAGGGCUGGUCCCACCACCAUCGCCUAACAGUGUGAGACAGCCACUCUAGGCAGCAGAUGCUGGAGGGCAGCAGUGACCACCCCGCUGGUGGUUUCUCUUGGGUCCCCAUUCAUUCCUCUCUUGGAGAAUACAGCUGUGUGUGUGCCACGUGGCAUGUACAACAGUAGCCUGCUGCCCUCGGGUGUGCUGGAGGACGCUGUCCCGUUGCCGGCCUUAAAACAAUUCCCUUUGCCUCAGGCAGCAAGAUGUCUCAGACAGCCUCCUAGAAUUUGGAUGGUUUGUAGAGAACAAGCAGACCUGACUUGAACAUUUGAUAUUGUGCCACCAACUAUAGAUCCAGGGCAUUCCCCAGACUGUCAGUGUUUUUUCAGGAAGGAUUCAAGAGCAGUGCUUUUUUGGGGAGGGGGAUGCAGGGGUACACAUACCCCUAAACAUUUUGUGAAUCUACUGGGAAAAGAAACUAAACAUUUAAAUUUUAUUAGUUUCUUCCCUAGCACGGUGAAUCGUCAGUCCCGUGUCAUGGUGUUUCCUGAGUCUCAGAUGGAAGCGAGCGUUUAAUGUGUGACGUAGGAGUUGAAAUCUAGCAUGGUGAUUGGUCAGUUUUGUUGUUACCACCUCCAAUGGCAGCUUCCUUUCCUUUCCUGGUGUUUCCUGAGUCUCAGACGGAAGCGAGCAUUUAAUGUGCGAAGCAGUGUGGAAUGUGGAUGUGUGGUAUUUCCCCCGAUGUGAAGUAUAAAAUGGUGAUGUUCUUGAGUCAAAAUGAGAGUACAGUGGAACCUUGGGUUACGUACUGUCCUCCUUACGAAGGCUUCAGGUAAUAAGCUCUGCUAACCCGGAAGUAGGUGCUCCUGGUAGUGAACUUUGCCCUGGGUCGCGAGUGGCCAAGUCCCGAAAGCGCGCCUCAGGUUAAGAAUGGUUUCGGGUUAAGAACGGACCUCUGAAACGAAUUAAGUUCAUUACCAGAGGUACCACUGUAUCCCUAAACAUUUUUUAAAGAAAAAAAGCACUGCUCAAGAGCAAAACCCGGGUGCAAUAUUGUGCACAUUUGGCUUUGUAGUUAGGGACUUGAAAGGGAUCUGGGAUGAACUGGAAAGAAAGGGGACAAGUUAGCUUUCAUUUCAUUUUGGGGUGAGUUGCUGGAAUAGAGAAACUUCAAGUACAGUGGUACCUCGGGUUAAGAACUUAAUUCAUUCUGGAGGUCAGUUCUUAACCUGAAACUGUUCUUAACCUGAGGUACCACUUUAGCUAAUGGGGCCUCUGGCUGCUGCCACGCUGUUGCCGUGCGAUUUCUGUUCUCAUCCUGAAGCAAAGUUCUUAACCGAGUUACUAUUUCUGGGUUAGUGAAGUCUGUAACCUGAAGCGUCUGUAACCUGAAGCAUCUGUAACCCGAGGUACCACUGUACUUGUCUUUGGAAUUUCUUACAAUGCAGCCAUUGGUGACGUCGGUGGGAUGGCUCUUUUACUGUAGUUUCUGUUUGCUCAGUUAAAUGGAUUAAAGUGCUUUGCCACCCUGCCACAACAAAUGCACUUUAAAAAAGGGGGGGAUGACCUUUUUGCUGGGCAAUGCAUCGAAAAGAGUGAGAUGAACAAAUUAUUCGUAGGAAGACAUGCAAACACCUUGCAAUCGAAUCAGAAUGAAUGCAGAACGAGCUCUUGUCAUCAUAUAACCUCACUGCAAACGAAUCAGGACAAAUGCAGACCUAAUCUAACCUCCGUGAAAGCUUUGUGCAAGCGACUCGAGGCAAGUGAUCAAUAGAGAGGUAAUCUGGUGGAGGUCUCAGAGCGUUGUGCUUUGAUCUCUUUGGCAAAGUCCUUAGGAGUCUGCUUUCUCUCUUAAGCAAUAAUAAAAUCAGCAGCUUCGGUUCUCAGGCUCUUCUAGGAGAUUUUGGGUCUGGCCCAGCCGAUUUCCCGGUCCUCCUCCCGACUGUGGCUUCUGACCAGGGGAGGCUGCUCAAUCGCACGCUGCAGCUGCGUCGGCCUGAAAUCAAGGGUUUGUCUGGUAGUCAUUCCAGCAGCUGUUUGUUAUCCCCGUACCACUCAAGGGUAUCUUGACAUAAAAAGCAGGCAUGGCAACACAAGCGGAGCAGUGACAAUAAACAGAAUGGCUUGAUAAAGAACAAACCGCGCCAGCUAGAGGCAGCCUGGCUUUGUUUAGAUAAAACAAAGCGACAAAAAUCAGUAAGUUUUGCCAUGCGGUUCUCAGCAGAAAUGAAAGCACGGGGGAGGUGGGGGGAGGUGGGUACCCGGCGGGUGGAUGGAGACUUCGCCGUAGCUAUCGGAGCCAUGGUCUCUUUCUGACUCUGGUUUUUCAGCUCUUGGAGACAGCUCUCAAAAUGAUGUCAUGCUCCGUCUAGGCCUGCAAGUGCCCGUCACCCAUCACCUGGGGUAGCUGAAAGUGUUUUUCUUUCUUUUGCUCUGGGUGGCCGAGAUAUUUCGGAAAGUUGAGGCUUUCAGCCCCUUCCUUUAACAAAAAAAGGGGGAAAGGAAAUAAAGAAAGCCAAGCGGAAUUUUCUGACCUUCCUGGUUGCUGCCAUUCGUAAAUCUAAGCUAGGAGAAAGGGGUCUUCUCCAUCCUAGGAGCCCAUGGGGCAAUUGCUAAAGCGGUCCCGAGGAGCUGAAGGUCAAGGUGCAGCAAGGAAGAAGCAAAGGCAGGCAUCCAGCCUCCUUGGAUUUAAGCCAGGCUUGGCCCAGACAGGGGCUGCAUACUCCAUGCAAGCCAUUGGAGCCAAUCUCCAUGCCUUUCUUUGCCAGAAAGAGCCUCUGAGGUCUGAGCAUAAGGCCAGGCCUUGGUUUCAAGCCCUGAAAUGCCUCAUGCAAGAAGUCCUUGGCAAGCGGCCAACCCCCUUUGCAAACUACACUUCCCAGGGUUCUUUGAGGGAAGCCAUGACGGUUAGGUGGUCUGAUGGUGCUUUGGAAUGUGUGGUACUGAUGUGGCCCCAAACCACUCAGCCCUUCUAUGCAUAUCUCUAUGAUCUAGGAGGACCCGAAGGCGAGUCACUUGCAUUUAGGUUUGCACAGAAUUCAGUAACGGUUAAUAGACCCUUUUCGUAUAAUUACCACUAAGUGGACAAGUUUAUAUUACAUCUCAGACAAGGUGGCAGACCUGCUAAUGACAGGAGUAAAUGAAAAAGAGCAACUGAGUAUAUCAAAAAGCAUCAGAUAAUGUACAUGCAUUCUGCUUUGUAAGAAAAUCUGACAGGGAUGGGGCCAUUUCCCUCCUUCAUUAUCUGAUAGACUUAAAGACUCCUAUAUAGCUGUCCAGAUCUACUCAAAGGUUCGUUAGGAACUUCCCCCUCCCCCGCACUCCGCACCCUCCUCCCAUGGAAGCAAUUAAAUGGCAAAAUUGUCAUAACACGAUGGUUUGAAGAUCGAUGGUCGUCGUCUACUGUUGUUAAUGGAGAGUGUUCAAUCACUAAAUCUUAAGCUAAAGUUGUCUUCACAUCCACCGAAACACAGAACAGCUGCAGAGGGACGUUAACCAAGUAUUUAUUGCUUAAUACCUCCUUCUCAGGAGGACUCCAGCUCAAAAUCACUUUAUUGUAUGGAAGUUGUUCUUGUCAAUAAAAGAAUAUGUUGCCCGAGGGCCACCAAAACCAACGGGGGGCGGGGGAAGCAGGACCAGAACGAAGGAGGACAGAUAAAUCAAAUGGAGUUGGAUAAGUCAAUAUGGUGAAGUCCCCCACCCUGCCAAAAAUCCAAGAAAAUAAGGAGCCAACAUUUAGCGGAUGCUCUCAUAGAUGGAGAAAGGCCACAGAUGCUAGAACACCUGCCUGGGAUGCAGAAGGUCCCAGAUUCAACCCCUGGCAUCUCCAGGGAGGGCUGGGAAUGUGUGUCGCCUGAAACCCUGGAGAGACACCCGCCCAUCAAUGUGGACCACCAGUCCUCAACCUUUCAAGACCCCAGCCCACCUUUAACACAGACAUGCAUAUGACAACCCCUAUUUUUUCUACCAUGUGUUUGGUGAUACUGCUGUGGUUCUGAUCCAUCUUAGUUAACCUUAGACCCACCAGUUGAAGACCAGUAGUGUCUUCCUAUGAACUUGCUGCAUCAAAGGACCACACUUUUGCUAUGCACAACUCAGCUGGCAGAGGACCUGAGCUAUGUUGUAGAAAUAGACCCUCUGAGUAGUCCCUCCAGGAAUAGUCAUCCCAGUUUCUCAUUUGAUUCUAGAAUGUCCUGCUUUUCCUUAGGACAUCUCUCAUUUCAUGGAAUAAAAGAUGGAAGAUAUGGGAGAAUGGUUAAAUGUGUCUUGCUAACAUUAGGUUUUUUCCAUGGCAGCAUAUUGAAGAAGAAGAAGAAGAAGAAGAAGAAGAAGAAGAAGAAGAAGAAGAAGAAGUGGAGGAGGAGGAGGAGGAGGAGGAGUUUCGAUCCGGCUUUAUCACUACCCUAAGGAGUCUCAAAGCAGCUAACAAUCUCCUUUCCCUUCCUCCCCCACAACAAACACUGUGUGGUGAGUGAGGCUGAGAGAAGUGUGAUUAGCUCAAGGUCACCCAGCAGCUGCAUUUGGAGGAGAGUCCACCACUCUUAACCACUACACUACACUGGCUCUUAGCCUUAACUGAUUGAUAACUAACUUUGAAUGUUCUCUGCUCAUAAUACUGAAUGUUUACCUUUGAACAUGUGAUGAAGGUAAAAGGUAAAUGGUAAAGGGACCCCUGACCAUUAGGACCAGUCGUGACCGACUCUGGGGUUGUGUGCUCAUCUCGCUCUAUAGGCCGAGGGAGCUGGCGUUUGUCUGCUGGCAUGUGGCCAGCAUGACUAAGCCGCUUCUGGUGAACCAGAGCAGCACAUGGAAACGGAGUUUACCUUCCCGCUGGAGCGGUACCAAUUUAUCUACUUGCACUUUGACGUGCUUUCGAACUGCUAGGUUGGCAGGAGCCAGGGACCGAGCAAUGGGAGCUCACCCCGUCACAGGGAUUCGAACGGCCGACCUUCUGAUCAGCAAGUCCUAGGCUCUGUGGUUUAACCCACAGCGCCACCCGCAUCCCUUUUAGUAGGAGUAAGUAUGUGUAAAUGAGCCUCUCUGAGUGUGAAUAGAGCUCCAGGCAAAUUGGAGGCUGGAAGGAAAAAGAGAGAGAGAGAGAGAGAGAAAGAAAGAGACAGAGAGAGAGACCUUUGCUUCUUGGUCUGUUUGGAAUUAUCUUUUAUUUCUUAUAAGAUGCUGAGCCUGUGCUGGACAAGUACAAAAUGUUGUAUGGAAUUAUUUGGAUAUACCUUUGAUGUUUUUGUUCUGCUUUGAAGAAAGUUCUGCAAAUAAAGUUUUGAAUGAUAACUAAUGGGUCAUUCCCAAAGGAGUCAGUUUUUAUGCAUCUUGUUCAUUUCUGCUACACAAUACAGUAUUGAUAGCUGCAAUAUUGGAUUCCUCUCUGAGUGAACACAAAUAGGACGAAGAACAGGCUCCUGAGCUGCCAGGGAACUGCCAUCAGCUCAGAGGCGAGAGGUGGAAGGGCAGCUGUGUUACAGGGAGCCUCCAAAGAUCUUGCGAAGCAGUUCUUCCUCUGGUGAGGAGGGAAGUCCCGCCUCCAGUGGGGAUGGGGCGCAGGGAUCAGAAGAUGCUAGGGAGAGCCUCAACACCGAACCGGAGCAAAAGGGAGGGGAGGCAAGUCCCCCUUUGCCAGCUUCCAUGUUGCGCAAUAGGUUUGCGCACAGAGAGAGGAGGAGAAGGAUGAGGGUCACACGACUGUUAUGCUGGGGAAGGUAUAAGGACCGCCCACUCCCAGAUUCUGUUAGCGACUUAGCAGACAUGGACUUGCGACGCUCUGCAAUGUAAAAUAGUUUGUACAGAUAAUAAAGCCUGGAAAAGACAGGUUGGAGUCUUGCCUGUUUGCUCUCGAACAACCACACCACCACCUGACAGCAGCCCUACAUUCCUGUUUUGCAGUGUGACAUACACUUCAAGGGCUGUGGCCUGGUUCCUGAGGAACUAUGGACAUUGCUUGGCUGUUAUGCUGCUCUUUGUGUGUGAGUCGCACUUUUGCAUGUGGUAAGGACUGCUCUGAAUCCACCGAGGCCUCUCUGCCGAAAACUCAACCAUCACUGCUAAGGCUCUGGUCUUCUGAUGAAGUCUCAUGAUACGUGGCUAUUAAGAGCAGGACUCUUCUCCCACGCCCCCAUGCCCGUUGCAUCCUCUUUUACGUACUUUACCAAGAUGGACUGGGGAUGUUUUGGAACUUGUGGUUCUAGCAUUUAUUCAUCUUAAAGUAUUUAUAUGCCGCCCUCUCAUAUCAGUGUGGUGCACAGUACUAUGAAAACCGAAAGACCCAUAAAAGCAGUACAUUUAUCCAGUGUGUCAGGGCACUUUUGACCAGUGCUUUUUAUUUGAAGGGCUGUCACUUAUUGAUCUUGAAAGAGUUUGAAAGGUUGUCUGGUCCCAGUCCAGUUUAAAGAUAAAGAGCCCUAAGAAGGGAGGGGACGGGUGUGCUUGAAGUUUUCCAUCAACCUUUGGCAUCUGGGCUGCAAACUGAGCAGACCCAUACACUGGUUACCUGUAUUAGUAUUAGAAUCAGAAUCGUAGAGUUGCAAGGGACUCCUGAGGGUCAUCUAGUCCAACCCCCUGCAAUGCAGGAAUCUAAAACUAAAGCAUCCCUGACAGAUGGCCACCCAACCUCUACUUAGAAACCUCAAAGGAAGGAGAACCCUCCAACUAUUGAGGGAAUUUGUUUAGCUCUGACCAGGUGACUUUAUGCAGAAAGAAAAAGCCCUCCACAUAGAAAAAUGGUAUGCCAAGGGGGAAACUAGGUUGCUGAGAGCCUUUCUAGGCUAGAAUCCAUCUACUUGGCACGCUAGUCUUCGGUCUGCAGAGAAUUCAGGGACAUUUGGGGCUAGCCUCCACCUAUAGUCUGAGGUGGUACAGUCCAGAAACAGGUGUACCAUAUUAGUGAGAAUUAUGCCAUUGGGGAGGGAGUGAAGGCUAGAGCCCUUUGACCGCUACCAUCUAUCCUUUUUUUUCUUCAAAUUUUUUUAUUGAUUUUCCAAAAAUUUUUAAAUGAACAAACAUACAUCUUAACUGUACUUAAUCCAAUCUUAUUAACAUUGUUGAGUGACUUCCUCAAAUCCCCCUGUCUGAGUUUCAGUGUAUAUCAUUGUAACAGUUUUUCAAAACCAAUUUUCUCAUAAAAUUAACUUAAUCACUUCUUUCUUUCUUUUCAUUUUAACUUUAAACAUAUUAUUCUCUAACAUCACAUAUUUAAAUCCUAAGCCUAUCUGGUAUUUGCAAGUUUUUCCAAUUAAGUUAUCUUAGGAUAUUUGACUAAAUUGUCUUUGAAUUUCAUCCAUUCCUCCUGGUACUCCUCCUCCUUCUGGUCGCGGACUCUUCCAGUCAGGUCGGCUAGCUCCGAAAAGUCCACCAUCUUCAUCUGCCAUUCCUCCACUGUUGGGACUUAUUGUGUUUUCUAAUUCUUAGCUAACAAAAUUCUAGCUGCAGUUGUGGCAUACAAAAACAGUCUGACAUCUUUCUUGUGCAAUUCCAAACUUGUUAUUCCAAGAAGAAAGGCCUCUGGUUUCUUAAUAAAUGCAUAUUUCAACAUUUUUUUCAAUUCAUUAUAAAUCUUCUCCCAGAAGUCUUUCACCUUGGGGCAGGUCCACCACAUAUGAUAAAAGGUACCUUCUUUUUCCUUACAUUUCCAGCAUAGAUUAUCACUAUUAUGAUAUAUCUUUGCCAGUUUUACAGGGGUUAAGUACCAUCUAUACAUCAUUUUCAUAAUAUUUUCCUUUAACACCGUACAUGCAGUGAACUUGACCCCUUUCCUCCACAACCUUUCCCAGUCUUCAAACAUUAUGUUAUGUCCCACAUCUCUUGCCCAAUCUAUCAUCACUGAUUUAACUUGCUCAUCCUUUGUAUGCCAUUCCAACAACCCUACCAUCUAUCCUAGCUUACUAGCAACUACUUUUCCAUAGCACUUUGCUGCUAGAUUGGCAAGUGCAGGGAGUGGGGAGCAGGGAGUGCAGAGAGCCAGAUUUGGCCCAGGGGCCCUUAGCUGCUGAACACACCCGCAGAACUAUUUGCGUUUGCAUUUCAGCUGGGAAUGAACGCGGCCUCUAAAAUCCAAAAUAAACUUAAAUUUAAAAGCGGGGGGGGGGGGGGACUAAGCAAAAAAAGAGGGGGGGGGGGAGGAAAUAAACAAACAAUAAACAGAAAACCCUCAGAAAAGCUUCCGCUCCCCAGCCCUUUCCCAGCUUUUCAAGGCUGCGUUAUUUGUUCCCAUUUUUCAAGUGAAUUUGUUUCCUUUGACCUUUAUGCAUUUCCUCUUUGUAGCAGCUCAAACAUGCUUAGUGGGAAAAAUGCCUCCACAAAUGAGAAACAUAUUGGGAAGGCAAUACAGGAAACAAAACAUAAAACAUGGAGUUAUGUACACAGGAGGUGUUUCUCCGCCACAACCACAUAUUUUCUACACCUGGGUGUAUUUUAUUUUAUUUUAUUUUAAAAAUGCAUAUCCUGCCUUCUGGCAUGUAACGCGGGCUCCCAAGGUGACUUUCAGAUGAUUAAAAUGCACAAUAGAAUCAAGGAGGGAGGGGAGAGAGAAAGAAAGAAAGAAAGAAAGAUAACAGCAAAGCCAACAGGAUAAAACCAACCCAUGACAACAGAGCAAUACAAAGCAAAUGUUGCUCUAUCGGCCCAUAAGAAAAAUAACCCAGCUCAGUAAAGCCGAAAUGGCACAAGACUAGAAUCAUAGAAUCAUAGAAUCAUAGAGUUGGAAGAGACCACAAGGGCCAUUGAGUCCAACCCCCUGCCAAGCAGGGGCAAGCUUUCCAGAACUCCUCAUCGGUCAAGAUUAACAUCUUGAUGAAGGCAGCGAUGUGGAGACAAGGGAAAAGGGCAAAAGAACAAUUGUGUCUCCAGAAUAUUAGAAGGUCUGGGGUUCCUUCCGCCAUAUAUGGGGCAAAUGUACCCCGAACAGAGGCUGCUUGUCCGAAACACCAAAUGAUCUUUGACACGGCCGGCCCUAUCACUGGGCAGAAGGAGGCAGCCGCCUCAGAUGGCAAAUACCGGGAGAGAACGAGAGGCAGCAAGCAGUGUUAGAAACUGAGAUAUGAAAGCUAGGAGCUAAAGGGCACCUUAAACUUAGGUUAUGGGCGCAACCAUGGAAUGUCUAGGCGUGCUUUUUUACUAACAAGAAUACAAAGCUGAAAAUGAAUGAAUAUUAUGUUCCUUUUUCACAUGGUCUGGUCAUUCCCCUGCCCACCUGCCUAAUAUUCUUAAGAGGGUCCAUCUUUAGCAGAUGUGGCGCUGGGGUGCAAAUAUCUGCUCAGCGCUCCCAAAUUACGACGGAUGGGGGGCGAAGCUGCACACUGCCAGCCAUGGGUGGGGGUGCGCAACUCUUCCCCAUGUUGCUGUGGGAGAGCAAUGCCCGCAGAGGCUUGGGAGGGAAGCGGCACGCCUGCCAGCCAUAUAGUUGGUGGGGCGCAGCUUCCAUCCUAAGCCUCUGCAGGGUUUGCUCUCCUCCCACGGAGGCCUGGGAGGCAAGCUCCACGCCCGCCAGCCAUAUGGUUGACAGGGCGCAGCUGGCGGGCAUGGAGGGAAAGGGGAGGCCGCCGGCAAAGCCGUGCAGCUCCCCCACUCGCCGGGGAGCCCCUGAGAGGCUGGCACCCUGGUGCAACGCACCACUAAGCCCAAUGGGAAAGACAGCUCCAAGAGGGUCUCUUCUCCAGUCUUCAGAGAGUAGCCAGAAGUGGGGAGGCAGAAAAAAAAGGUCAUCCUUUCCUUCCACUCUGCAGUUUUAAUCUGAAAUUUUAGGUGCACUACUGCGCCCAGAGCUAAGAAACUGCUUGCGCUAAUGAAAUUCCCUGAUGCAAAAUGAACAAUGGGAGUUUCGAUCACUGGUGGCAAGGGUGGGCAGAGCUGUGUGUCCCUUGCCAGCUGCCUUCUGCUAGCCUGCUGCUCUCAGGUGUGGUGGAGGAUAAGUUAACAUCACCACUUGGAAGAAGUGAAGUUCAAGUGCUGGCCCAGACAGCUCCUGCCCAAGGAAUGGGUUGUCUUCUGUCUUGUCCUUGCACUGAGUAGGGCUAAGAGAUCCAGUGCUGGAUUAUCCAAUAGGCAGACUGAACAUUGUGCAUAGAGCACCAACAAAGGAGGAGUACACACACAAAAAAGAUUUUUAAAAAAAAUGUUUGACAUAAAAAGAAGAAGAAAAGCAUUGAAGUGGUCAACAUGGGAAAACUCAGAAUUUUGUUAGACAUCCUUACAUUCCACUCCACACCCUUCCUCCAUUUUUCUGCUCUCUUUUUACAAUUUCUCCCCACUUAUAUCAGGGGGUGUCCUACUAACGUAGACUGAAAUAAAGUGAGGAAAUCAGAUCCUGCCAUGUGUUGCAAUAAAUCCAUGUUGUUGUUUUUACAGUGUAGUAUUGCUCUUUUUUUGAAUUACAUAUAAGGGGCGCCAUAAUCUUCUCAGCGCUUAGGGCCUCUAAAGGUCUGGAUCCGGCCUUGCUGAAAUCGUAGGGAGCGGAUGCCAGUCAGUUCAGACAGUACUGAGUAGGAUGGACCCAUGUUCAGUCUUCCUGCUUGGCACCUUCAUUUUAAUUCUGCUCCCAACCAUUUGCAGGGAAGCGAGGCCUCAGCGGUGCUUGGAGACUCUGGUGUGGAAGCCAAAAAAUGGGCAGCAAACCGUUUGCUAAUAAUUGUCCUUUUCAGUCUGCAAUUAUUGUUAAACUGUACUCAGCCGAGGCCAGAAAUCAUGGUGGGAGCUGGGAGCUGGGAGUCAUUUGUGAGCCAGACCAAAAAAAGAGAGGCGAGUCUCUCUGCAUGGGGGGAAAAACUGUUUGUGCACCAUAACUCACCACCUCAGGUAGAGUCACCAGUCACAGCUGGUUUGGCAUCUUUAAAUUCUUCCUGCCUUGGCGGUGGGGCCACCCACGCCAGCACCAGCUGAGGGAUAUCUUAACCGGUAUAUACUUUGGCAGUUCGCUUUCGCCUGGGAGUAGCCGGCUGUGCCAGCGCACAGCGUGAAAUAGGUCUCCUUGCCGUGAUUUACAUCGCCGCGUAGUAGCUGCCUGCAAAGUAGUUCGAAUAAAUUGCUGGCUGUUAAAAGGACGAAACGGCAAUGGGAAGUCUCCAGCAGGGCCGCUUCCGGCUUUCUCAUUUCAUUUUCAAAAUCUCUGCAGAUUAAUUGCAUUAGUUUGAAUUAACCGGUUCUUCGUUUAGAGCUGCAUGCACGAGCGAAAAUAAUAGAUCUGGCAAUAAGGAAGUGUUCUUGGUGUUUGGGUGGCAAGCCCAGGCAUUGCACAGGUGAGAGGCAUUCCUGCACGAAUGUGUGGGGAAAGGGGAUGCCUCUUCUCAGGCGGAGCCUGACAAAAAUCGAAACGGGAGCAGAAUUUGCUGAUUCUCGCUUCUUUGUUGGGAGUGAAAACCAGAUCAGUGCACAACAUGAGGACGCCAGAAGCGCCUGGAUCAGGUCAGCCUAAAACCUAGCCCAUCACUCAGGGGCGGACUUUGGUAAUAUGGUAUCAUGAGUGAGGGAAAAAAUUCCCAUCCCCUAUACACACACACACACACACACACACAGUGGUACCUCUGGUUGCGAAUGGGAUCCGUUCCAGGAGGCCUGUUCGCAACAUGAAAAGAGCGCAACCCGCAGUGGCGCGUCUGCACAUGCGCAGUUCACGACUCACCACUUCUGUGCAUGCGUGUGACAUCAUUUUGUGCGUCUGUGCAUGCGCGAGCAGCAAAACCCGGAAGUAACCCUUUCCGGUACUUCCGGGUCUCCGCGGGACAUAACUUGAAAGAAUGUAACAUGAAGCGGACAUAACCAGAGGUACCACGGUAUUUCAUAAUACUUCCUUUUGGUACAAUUGCUUUUUAAAUGGAUCGUUUCAGUAGGUAUCAUUGGUGGGAUGCAGAGGAAUGGUGGGAGGAACCAGUUGGGAAACCCUCAAGGGAAGGAGUCUCAGAGCCCAGGAAGUGGUGGUGGGACAACUAUGAGUGGUCAGAAGGAGAAGAGGGAGAAGACCGGGAGGAUGAGAUGUUGGAAGCUGAAGAGGUAACAGGGCUUAGUGAGCAGGGAGAGUCUGUGGCAGAGAGAAGUCCAGAAUCAGAAGCUGAAACAGGAGAGGAUAGAGGCCAAGAAGCAGAGGUAAGCCUGGCUGGUGAACUGAAACAACUGUCUCCCACAUUUGCUGUGACACUUUCCUUUCCCCCCGGUCUCCCAGGACCAGAAGAGGCAUGAAAAGGACAGAGGAGGUUAGCAUCAUGCAGGCGCAGUCUCAGAUUACAUGGGAAAACCCUAGAGAGGAGGGGACUUAGGUGUCUGUGGGGAGGCAGAGACCUUCAUUCUCAGCAACUGUUUCAUGGGGGUAAGACCUGUCAGUGAUGCGUUGCUGUGCUCAUUAGGUCUGACACUGCUGUGCAGAUCCCGCUUUUGCUAAUAAAGAAUUAACUCCAACUUGCUUUGGGUGCUUUACUGCUGGCUUGCUCCUUUCGCUAGGUAUCUGUAUAAGUAUAGGUUUUUUAAAAUUGUUGUUAUUAUUUUGCACCCCCUCAGCUCAGCACCCUAUGCAGAGAAACCACCCACACCGCCCUAAAUCUGGUGCUGCAAUGCUUAAACUAGAUGGAUCUGACGUAGAGAGUGGCAGCUCCUGCAUUUCCCCUCCUGCCCCAUUGGCUUGACGUGUCUAUUUAAUGUCUAUUUAACAGGUGAAGAAUUCUCUGGCAUGGAGAUGCAGUGAUGGCUAAGCAAACCCCCCCCCCCCCCCAUGAAAUGACUGCUAGUCAUGCAACUAUAAACCACAGGGGCCUUACAUAGAAAAAAGAAACUUUUAAAAAGUAUUUCUAAAUGGCCUUUCUCUUGUUUUUCUGGCUGAUUUUGAGAGAGGCUUGGAUGCUUAGCUGCAAUACUUUCAGGUAACUUGUGGUCCAGCCAGCUAGUGCGCUCCACCAACCCGAGGUAACUGUCAGACAGAAUCGCAUAGUAAUGGAUAAACAGCCGAGAUGGGGCAGCCGGGCCGAGCUAUUUCAUACUGAGCUAUGUCAAGGGGGACCCAUCAAAACCAGCCACGAGAAACUUCCUCCGCAGCCCCAGGCCGCUGGUGGCUGAGAACAAAACGCUUUACCAUCCCUUUCUUCAUGGUCCUGCAGGCAGAAAGGCUCUCCAGUUUAACAAUGUCAGCUGGCCUCGUGUCAAGAGGUGUGAGGUUGCCUUUAAAUACUGUGCAGCAACAGAAUGGCGGAGGAGAAUACUCGUCCCAGGACGGUCGUUUCCUUCUGUGGAAUGAAAAUCUUCCAGAAGGAGUGUCUGAAGUCCAUAUAGUGAGACGUGCUAAUGUUUGCCGUGGGACUUGUGCAUUAACAGAUACAGGUGUGGAAACGCAACGGUUCGGCCUCUUUCUUGCCUGCCUUUCCUACCUCCUGGGUAGAAAUGUUAAAAUUUCUGGAAAUUUGGAAGGCUCUCACACUCUCUCCUCUCCCCCUGCCUGCCUUCCUAUAUCUAUCUAUCAUCUAUCUAUCUAUCUAUCUAUCUAUCUAUCUAUCUAUCAUCUAUCUAUCUAUCAUCAUCUAUCAUCUAUCAUCUAUCAUCUAUCAUCUAUCAUCUAUCAUCUAUCUAUCUAUCUAUCUAUCUAUCUAUCUAUCUAUCUAUCAUCUAUCUAUCAUCUAUAUCUAUCUAUCUCUAUCUAUCUCUAUCUAUCUAUCUAUCUAUAUCUAUCUAUCUAUCUAUCUAUCUAUCUAUCUAUCUAUCUAUCUAUCUAUCUAUCUAUCUAUCUAUCUAUCUAUCUAUCUAUCUAUCUAUCUAUCUAUCAUCUAUCUAUCUAUCUAUCUAUCUAUCUAUCUAUCUAUCUAUCUAUCUAUCUCUAUCUAUCAUCUAUCAUCUAUCUAUCUAUCUAUCUAUCUAUCUAUCUAUCUAUCUAUCAUCUAUCUAUCUAUCAUCUAUAUCUAUCUAUCUAUCUAUCUAUCUAUCUAUCUAUCUAUCUAUCUAUCUAUCUAUCUAUCUAUCAUCUAUCUAUCUAUCUAUCUAUCUAUCUAUCUAUCUCUGGGGUAAAUCGAUACACACACAUAAUACUUGAAGGUGAAGGGACCCCUGACCAUUAGGUCCAGUUGCGGACGACUCUGGGGUUGCGAUGCUCAUCUCGCUCUAUAGGCCGAGGGAGCUGGCGUAUGUCCGCAGACAGCUUCCGGGUCAUGUGGCCAGCAUGACUAAGCUGCUUCUGGCGAACCAGAGCAGCGCAUGGAAACGCCGUUUACCUUCCCGCCGGAGCGGUACCUAUUUAUCUACUUGCACUUUGACGUGCUUUCGAACUGCUAGGUUGGCAGGAGCAGGGACCGAGCAACGGGAGCUCACCCCGUCGCGGGGAUUCGAACCGCCGACCUUCUGAUUGGCAAGUCCUAGGCUCUGUGGUUUAACCCACAGCGCCACCCGCGUCCCUACGUAAUACUUAAUCGAACCUAAAGGUUUAUUACUUUAUUGAAGUAGAAUCAGUUAGCAUCCAGAACAUAAAAUAACACCGUUAGUCAAAUGAUGAAAUAAAAACCUGUAAAUUUUUUAUUUUAUUUUAAAUCACAAAAUAAUUAUGAACAGCUCGUAUUAGGGGAGCCAGAGUGGGGCAUUCUUGAAGGCCUGUUUCCCAACAUACUUUGCUGAGUCAUAGGAACAUGGGACAUUGAUUUAUACCGAGUCAGACUACUGGUCCAUCUCGCCACCAGGCUGAGCGCUAGCCUGUGGCACUCCAGAUGUUGCCAAUCUACAAGCCCCAUCAACCCUGGCCAGCAUGAGGAUUAGGGAUGUUGGGAGUUGUAGGCCAAAAACAUCUGGAAGGCCAUUGCCCACUUCUUGUUUACAUGGACUGGCAAUGGCUCUCUGCGAUCUCCAGUAUGGGAUCUUUUGCAUGCAAAAAAUAAAAUAAAAUAUGUUCUUGCCUUUCUCCAAACAGAUUUAAAUUAUUCAUCCAUCUAGCCCAGUGAAGUCUACUCUGACGGGCAGUAAAUCUCAAUGGUCACAGGCAAUGAUCUUCUUUGGCUUUGUUAUUUCAGAUCCUUUGGCUUUUGGGGAGGGUGUCUGAUUAGUUAGGCAGAGAGGAGUGGCUAUUGGUGGCUCCUAGCCAGAAGAGGACAUGAGUGGCGCUGUGGUCUAAACCACCGAGCCUCUUGGGCUUGACGAUUGUAAGGUCGGCGGUUCAAAUCCCUGCAACGGGGUGAGCUCCCGUUGCUCUGUCCCAUCUCCUUCCAUCCUAGCCGUUUGAAAGCAUACCAAUGCAAGUAGAUAAAUAGGUGCCGCUGUGACAGGAAGGUAAAUGGCAUUUCUGUGUGCUCUGGCUUCCAUUGUGGUGUUCCGUUGCGCCAGAAGUGGUUUAGUUAUGCUGGCCACAUAACCUGGAAUAGCUGUCUGCGGCCAAACAUCAGCUCCCUUGGCCUGAAGUGAGAUGAACGCCGCACCCCAUCGUCAAAUUUGACUGGACUCAACAAUCAUGGGGUCCUUUACCUUUACUAGCCAAGGUGGGUAUGUUUUCUCCUCCAUUGUUGAAAGCAUCAUGCUCCUGAAUACUAGCUUCUGGGAGCUGCAAGCAGGGAGAGUUCCGUUGUGGUACCCAGGACCCAAGCAUUCAGGCUUCACACGGCCACCUGGCUGGUCACCAUGAAAGCAGAAUGCUCAGAGUUGCCACAUGUCCUCUUUUUCACGGGUAUGUAAAAUGAGAGCCAUCAUAACGAACCCUAGUUAAAAAUAGAAGUCGGCUGGGCGAAAGAUGUGGGACAUAAUAUACAAAUGACAGAUUGGGAGAGGCUAUGGAAAACAGAUCUGAAAUUUAUGGCAUGUUCUUCACUGAAAGAAAAUUACAUGAAAAUGAUGUACUGGUGGUAUUUAUUUAUUUUUAAAUAUUUAUUUAUUUUUACCAACAAGCAAAACACAAACAGUGACACCCCCCCCAGGCAGGCUGAUACAUUGGGUAUACUUAAUUAAUAAUAACAUAUUCAAUUCAACCAUAUGUACAAUUCUAUAUAUAUAAACACUCCUCCCUCCACAUGGUUAUUUAACUUUUAACAUUUUAAUUGCCCCAAAUUGUUCAAACCUACCCAAAUAAUUCAACAUCUUCUCAGUCCAAUCCUCCUCAUUCUCACUGACCUUAAACCCUUUCCUUCUGUGUAUCUUCACAGUUAGAUAUUCUAAAAUUAUAAUAUUAUUCAAUUUUUUCCUCCAUUGGUUCUUCUGCAUUUUUCCAGUGGUAUUUAGCCCCGGUAAAAUUAGCAAAAAUGUACAGAACAAGUGCAAAUAUAUGUUGGAAAUGUAAAGAAAAAGAAGGUACCUUUUAUCAUAUGUGGUGAAAUGGUAAUUUAACUAAAAAGUUCUGGGAAAUGAUAUAUAAUGAAAUGAAAGAAAUGUUUAAAAAAACCUUUGUCAAAAAACCAGAAGCCUUUUUAUUAGGAAUUAUAGGUACCGAGAUUCCAAAAGACCAGAGGAAACUGUUCAUGUAUGUUACAACAGCUGCCCAGAUGUUACUAGCCCAGAGAUGGAAGGAAGAGACAGCCCCGACCAAAGAAGAAUGGCAAAUCAAGUUGAUGGACUAUGCCGAAAUGGAAAAAUUAACUGGGAAGCACUUCUGCGCAUGACGUUAUUUUGUGUGUCUGCGCUUGUGCGAGUGGUGAAAUCCGGAAGUAAUCCUUUCCGGGUCGCCACGGGAAGCAACCUGAAAACGCUCAACCUGAAGCAAACGUAACCUGAGGU